rnacentral:rRNA from 1 species
AGUCACUGACAUUAGAUACCCGUGUAGUCCCAGCCCUAAACGAUGCGCGUUAGGUGUAUCGGUGACCACGAGUCACCGAGGUGCCGAAGGGAAACCGUGAAACGUGCCGCCUGGGAAGUACGGUCGCAAGGCUGAAACUUAAAGGAAUUGGCGGGGAGCACCACAACGGGUGGAGCUUGCGGUUUAAUUGGAUUCAACGCCGGAAAUCUUACCGGGACCGACAGCAACAUGAAGGCCAGGCUGAAGACUUUGCCGGAUUAGCUG